AAAAAAAAAAAAAAAAACAAAAUUGCUGUCGGUCUUGUCUUCUCCAUUCUUCCCAUAGAAUUCCAGAUUAUGUUUAUUUGAAAAAAUAGUUUAUCUCUCUCUUUGAUUGUUACGAUGGGUGUUAGAUUUACUUUGAAUCCACAUACAAAUUUGUCGUAACUAAUGAAGAGAUAUUCAACAAAGCAUUUUAAACGCAUUCUAAUUGCUAAUAACGUUAACAUCGACAUUGACCUGAAAACUGGAAUCGUUGCUAAGAAUAUGGCUAAGAAAGAGAAGAUCAAGGUGAGCUUCCGCAUGAAUUUUACAAUUCACAAAAGAACAACCCAAUUAAACAAAAUCAACAUCUCAAUUAUUAAAUAAGUUUUAUCCAAUUCUAUUACUGUUCUUUCAAUUGCUCAUCUUAAAAUCAAUCUGGGAAUUAUAAACACCAGAAAACAAUCAACACAAUCCAUCAAGUCGACAAUGGCUGAUUCAGUGUUAUCAAUCUUCUACAAAAUGAAUCAAGUGAUUUCAAUGGGUGGAAUAAUGUGGGAAGGUCUCAAUUCGAGUUUAAUCAAAAUCGAUGAAGCUUUGCUUAAGCAGCAGAUCCGAGCGGAGAUGAGGAAUAAAAAGAGAGAAAAAAAAAAGAUAUAGGAAGAAGAAGUAAAAAAAGGUUAUAUUUAUGAUUAAAAAAAAAAGAAGAGGAAGAAAAGUAAUACUGCAUAUGUAAUUAGUAAU
rnacentral:sRNA from 1 species